UUUUUUAAUUGGGGUAGCCCCAAAAAUAUUGGGACAUAAAAAAAGAAUAAGUGCACUUGAGUAUAACAAUGGCUGGGUGAGGCCAGUAUCAAUGUCUAUUCUGCACAAGGUACAGACAAGUCUGGUGGGAUGCAUGCCUGGUUCAUUUUAAUAAACGUGAGCUUGUCCACGUUGGCCGUGGACAGACGGCUGCUUUUGUUUCUGAUAACCUCGUGCCGAUCGCACGUCCCUGUGACGGCGACAACGCAUUUGGAUGUCUGCCCUAUCAACUUUCGAUGCUAUUUUCCGCACCUGCCAUGGUGACCACAGGUAAUGGGGAAUCAGGGUUCAAUUCCAGAGAGGGAGCCUGAGAAACGGCUACCACAUGCAAGGAAGGCAGCAGACGCACAAAUUACCCGCUCCCAACGCGGGGAGGUAGUGACAAAUAACAAUACACUACUCUUUCGAGGCACUGUAAUUGUAAUGAGUCCACUUUAAAUCCUUUAACUUGGAUCAAUUGGAGGGGAAGUCUGGUGCAGAGUGAUUGACCUGUGCAUGCUGCAGCUGAAA
rnacentral:rRNA from 1 species